rnacentral:lncRNA from 1 species
CAAAUAUUGGUCUCUCAAACAGCAGGCUCUUUAUUCCCUUGUGUCCUGGACUAGCCCGGACUCAUGAUGUUUUCGGACAUCUGGGGAUUGAAUCUUCCAUAAAGGCAUUCACCCUGGAACUUUCUGAACACACUUGAGAUCCCAUUUUCAGGAACAGUGCACUGAAGCCAUUAAGAAAACAGGAGCAGCUCUGAAAAGCCAUGAGUAAACUGCUUAAAUGCAACUACCCCUCAGGCAAGAUGAUGUUGACUUUGUGGGAGAGAUCUUGAUCCAGACUUACCCGGGUUACAAAAUAUCAUUUGAGCUCCACCCAUGCAGCUAGAGGUUUGCUUCUCCAGCCACAUUCUGUUCAGCGGGCAGGCAGGCCAAUCUGCCAUGAAGGGGCGGACUGUAUAAACUAUCCAAUCAGGUGGGCUCAGGAAGGAGGGCUUUUCCUGUGUCAUGGCGCCACAGUGCAAGUCGUGAGCACCUCGCUGAGAGUUCCUCAGCUGGCUAGGCUGCCUUCUUCUGUGGCUUCCACAACUGGCUGCUGGCUGCCUGCGAAAGACCUUGGGAGACCCUCAAGCCACGCAAUGGGCCAGUUUCGGGUCCCCAGCAUCCGGUGCCCACAGCGACACUGCCAGCCCAGAAUACAGACUUGGGCAGCUACAGCUGCAGCUCCAUCUCUACCAGUCUAAGGAGAGUGGGGGCUUUCAGUGUUCUUGCUAAGGACUGCUUCAGGAUUGGAGCUGCGUGGUGAGCUCGAUCCCUCGUCUCAUUCUUCCCAGCAGCUGACCCGGUGGAUCUGAAGUUCAUAAAUGUCUGAGAUCUUGUUUUCUCAAACCUCAGCCUUUUUUAUUUUUUUUGUACCAGGAAUUCGAACUCGGGUCCUUGCGCUCCUUGCACUUGCAAGGCAGAAGGUGAAACCACUGAGCUAAAUCCCCGGUCCCUCAGCCUUCUUAUAUUACAGUGAAUUCAUAAAUUUACAGUAUGUGUCCAUAUUGCCAGACUCAUAAUAGGUUUUUGUAAGGCCCAUAGGCAUCCAAAGAAAAUUUUAACAUUGCUGGUUAAGUGCCUCAGUGGUGAAGUAUUUGCUAAACUUGCCGCUGGAGAAGCACCCAGUGAACUUCUCCUGGAUUGCAUACAUAACAAUGCAAAAAAUAAAAUAAAAUUAUCACCUUAAUUAUUUAGGUGAGAACUCUCCUCACAAUGAUGUUACUGUAAACUAUAUGAACUGAGCUCAUGGUCUCGAAAGAUCGAAGAAUGAAUUCACAAACCAAAAGGAGGAAGUUAGGAGAGUUUUAUUGGAAAUAAGAACCGUAGCCCCUGUGUUUCCAGUAGGGUUCCCAAGUGCAUGGCCACAUGGCCCCUCAAUCCAGAGCUACUUAUAGAUAAACAGAGCACAGGAAUUGCUGAAUUGUUUUGUGGCCACCUACCACAGAUGGCUCUGUGGAUUUAUAACAACCAAUUGAACCUCAGCCUCUAAUCCAGUUUCUGUGCAUGAAAGGUUUAAAGGAAAUGGAUUUUAGAGAAAAACUGGUUAUUGUGCAUUUAUUUUAUUUUUUUGGUACAGGGGAUCGAACUCAGGUCCUUGCACUUGUGAGGCAGGCAGCGAAACCACUGAGCUAAAUCCCUGGCCCUGGUUAUUGUGCAUUUUAAGUUCCUAAAAACUGCAGCUUCAUAAAGGGUGGCUGCAACUCCCAUAGUUAUGGAAGGGGCUGCAUUCUCAAUUGCCUGAGGAAGUUUAUUUUUCAUCCAAAAUCCUAGUUCACUAUCUGUUCUUUUAUUAUUAUUAUUGUUUUUGGUUUAUUGAGACAAGGUCUUGCUAUGUAGUUCAGGCUGGCCUUGUUUCCUCCACUUUGUUGAGUUGAGAGGCAUGUACACCAUGCCAGUUUAAGUUUGAGGUUCUUCAAUCAGCACAAUUAACCAAGAUUUUAGUGCUUGGGUAUCGGAAACAUCACUGAGGGAUGGUGGUACACACCUUUAAUUCCAGUCACUUGGGAGACUGAGACAUGCAUAUUGUAACAACAAGCCCAGCCUGGACAAUUGACCAAGACCCUGUUUCAAUAUGAAAUAAAAAUUGGGGAUGUACCUCCACACUAAACUAACUUGUCUAAACUGUGCAAGACCCUAAAUCUCCAGUAUUGAAGAAAACAAGAAGAGUUAUUUAGUGUAAAUUUUACUUUGAGUUUUUAAAUUUAUUCAUUUUUCACACUAGUGGUACAUAAUCAUGGUGGUGGAUAGCAGUAAUGAGUCACUGCUCCAUCAGCAACAGGACACCAAAGAUGAGCAGCCAGUGACUUAUAGUGCACUGCAUUAAAUAAAGUUUAUAAGAUGUUUAGUAUUUUCUUAUGAAUUCAGCUCUGUUACAUAAAUUUCCCCAAAUAAAGAUUGAAGUAUGUGUAUUGAGCAGGCUUAAAAGAUCCAAGGCUCAGUAACGAAAUCUGCUUGAUCAGGUAUAUGCUAUGCAUUUUCAAUAUUUUAUUUUCAAUUGUCUUUGGAUUUUUACACAAGUUUUUGUUUUGGGGGGGGGGGGGGGUUUGGUACCAGAGAUUGAACUUGGGACCUUGCGCUUGCAAGGCAGGCAGCGGAACCACUGAGCUAAGUCCCCGGCCCCAACUGCCUUUGGAUUGAUCAAGAUAUUUUCUGUUUCAAACUCAAGUAGCUUCUGUAGACUCAUUCCUUUAACUUGUU